rnacentral:rRNA from 1 species
UCCGGUGGCAAUGGCGGAGGGGCAACACCCGUUCCCAUUCCGAACACGGUCGUUAAGCCCUCCAGCGCCGAUGGUACUGCGUGGGCGACUGCGUGGGAGAGUAGGACGCUGCCGGGA